GAUCCAUCUCUAUUACUGCGUUCCCCGUCCAUCCGUCACUCUCGAACCCUAAAACCGCGAAAGGGGAAGCAAUCACAACUCGGUUGAGCCAUGAAGGUGCGGUCAUCAGUAAAGAAGCUAUGUGAGUUUUGUAGGACAGUUAAACGUCGGGGGAGAGUUUAUGUGUUAUGUACUGCCAAUCCCAAGCAUAAACAGAGGCAAGGCAUAUCAACAUUUGCUUAUGAGGGUCCGGUCCCUUCUGCAUCCUCCGAAGUGGCUAAGAAGCAAGAGCAAGAGCCUUCAGUGACUAAUUUCUGGCCUCUAGGACUGGCAUCUCUUCUUCAGAAACAGGAGAAACAAGUUUAAACAUAUCUCGAGUCCAUUGGUCUGGGAAUAAGUUAGAAACAUGUCAAGGACAUUGAUUUGGAUGUUACAUGACUUGUGAGAGCUGCACCACUGUUGCAGAUCUGAUUGCGUUUUUAGAUGCUUUUAUCAUCUGCACAAAUUUUCAUCCAACUAUAUAAACUCAAAGGUUGACUAGCUAAUGCUACCUCAGUUCAUUUUUCUA